UACAAGAAGAUAUUUACAUUGGGCCACUGUUUUGGAGAUUUUAGCCCAUGACCAGUCAGCCAUGCUGCUUUGCACCUGUGAUGAGGCAUCAACUCAUAGUGGAAACAUCCAGUAGAGCAAAACUGCUCACCUCAUCAGCCAGGAAACAAAAUGGAAUGAGGCGGGGACCAUGUCGUAAAGGCCUCUCAUUAGGCCCACCUCUUAUAGGUUACAUUACAUCAUCUCCUAAUAACACCACUCUGGAAAGUCUGAAUCAUUAACACGUGACUUUGGGGGAUACUUGAGCAAACCACAGUAUCUGUGUAAUUUUGGAAAGGAAGGUCGAGAAGGGGCCCACCUCCACUGGGGGAAUGACUCGCAUGGUUAUUCUGAAGAGCAAACUGGCAUUUCUUGGGCCACUUAAGUUUGUAUAUGUUCAUAUUUCCCUAGUCCCACCCUGCUUUGUGCUAAAUUAAAGCAAUGGGUUCACUCGACUUCCUCCUGUCUAGCUGCUCCACAGGAGAUAAUACGUAAACAUCUGUAAUUUCCAGAUGUUUCCUUAUUUCUUGGGUUCCAGGGAUACCCCGUUUUCCUCUUUCCAAAUGCACGAGAGUGAUCGUUGGAAGGUAGAAGUGUUUGUCACAAGAUCAAGAGCUUUCCUUUACUGUUUCUGCUGUCUUUGCAACUGUGUCUGAUCACAAGAUAUAACUCUGCAAUUUAUUUUUCUGAAGAUGUAUCAGAGGGUCCUGAUAUCUGGAUCUCCUUUAGAAGAGUGCCAAGAAGCUGCAUCAGUACCUGGCAGAGACUUGUCACUUGAACAUAACCGUUGACUGAAUUCUAGAACAAAGGAAUCUUUGGAAUACAUACAACCUACAGCAUGGAAGAAACCUCUCCCUACCAACCUUUCUCUUUUCCAAAGAGCUCUUAUGACAGCAAUAUGGCCACUGGCAUCACCAAGAAACAUCUGAGUAGUUUGGUCAUCUCAACCGGAAGAUAAAUCUGCCUCUGCAAUGAUCUUGGGACUGCCUUCCAGGUGCUCAUGCCUGGACCCAUCAUGUAGGCAAGCAGUUG
rnacentral:sRNA from 1 species